rnacentral:rRNA from 1 species
UACGAAGGUGGCAAGCGUUACUCGGAAUUACUAGGCGUAAAGGGCAGGUAGGUGGUUCGGUAAGUCUGUUGUGUAAGCUCCCGGCUUAACUGGGAGAGGUCAACAGAAACUACCGGGCUUGAGUAUAGGAGAGGGUACUGGAAUUCCCGGUGUAGCGGUGAAAUGACGCAGAGAUCGGGAGGAACACCAAUGGCGAAAGCAGGUACCUGGACUAUUACUGACACUAAGCUGCGAAAGCUAGGGGAGCAAACAGGGAUUAAGAAAACC